rnacentral:RNase_P_RNA from 14 species
GAGGAAAGUCCGGGCUCGCACAAGCUGAGAUGCUUGUAGUGUUCGUGCUUAGCGAAAUCAUAAGCUAAGGUACUCUUUUAGAGUAACGGCAGGAAAAAUGACUAAGGUUUCGACUAUGUCAAAGUAUCCUUGAAAGUGCCACAGUGACGAAGCGAUGUGGGAAACUCCAUCGGUGGAACGCGGUAAACCCCUCGAGCGAGCAACCCAAACAAUGGUAGGGGCGCUCUUCUAAAGGAAAUGAACGAGUAGAAGAGGCAGAGUUUACUCUGCAGAUAGAUGAUGACCGUCACCAAUUUUUCCUGAAGAAUUGGUGAUACAGAACGCGGCUUAU